AGCGAACGCUGGCGGCAGGCCUAACACAUGCAAGUCGAACGGACCCUUCGGGGUUAGUGGCGGACGGGUGAGUAACACGUGGGAACGUGCCUUUAGGUUCGGAAUAGCUCCUGGAAACGGGUGGUAAUGCUGAAUGUGCCCUUCGGGGGAAAGAUUUAUCGCCUUUAGAGCGGCCCGCGUCUGAUUAGCUAGUUGGUGAGGUAAUGGCUCACCAAGGCGACGAUCAGUAGAUGGUCUGAGAGGAUGACCAGCCACAUUGGGACUGAGACACGGCCCAAAAUCCUACGGGAGGCAGAAGUGGGGAGUCUUGCGCAAUGGUCGAGAGCCUGACGCAGCCAUGCCGCGUGGAUGAUGAAGGUCUUAGGAUUGUAAAAUCCUUUCUCCGGUGAAGAUGAUGACUGUAGCCGGAGAAGAAGCCCCGGCUAACUUCGUGCCAGCCGCCGCAGUAA
rnacentral:rRNA from 1 species